rnacentral:rRNA from 1 species
GAGUUUGAUCAUGGCUCAGAACGUACGCUGGCGGCACGCCUAACACAUGCAAGUCGAACGAAGUAGCAAUACUUAGUGGCAGACGGGUGAGUAACAUGUAGGUAUCUGCCCUUUGGCCUGGAAUAACACGAGGAAACUUGUGCUAAUACCGGAUAAGUCUUUACGGAGAAAGCUUUAUGCACCAUUGGAUGAGCCUGCACUUGAUUAGUUUGUUGGUGGGGUAAUGGCCUACCAAGACUGUGAUCAAUAGCUGAUUUGAGAGGAUGAUCAGCCACAUUGGGACUGAGACACGGCCCAAACUCCUACGGGAGGCAGCAGUGGGGAAUCUUGCACAAUGGAGGAAACUCUGAUGCAGCGAUGCCGCGUGAGUGAAGAAGGCCCUUGGGUUGUAAAGCUCUUUCGUCGGGGAAGAAAAUGACUGUACCCGAAUAAGAAGGUCCGGCUAACUUCGUGCCAGCAGCCGCGGUAAUACGAAGGGACCUAGCGUAGUUCGGAAUUACUGGGCUUAAAGAGUUCGUAGGUGGUUGAAAAAGUUAGUGGUGAAAUCCCAGAGCUUAACUCUGGAACUGCCAUUAAAACUUUUCAGCUAGAGUAUGAUAGAGGAAAGCAGAAUUUCUAGUGUAGAGGUGAAAUUCGUAGAUAUUAGAAAGAAUACCAAUUGCGAAGGCAGCUUUCUGGAUCAUUACUGACACUGAGGAACGAAAGCAUGGGUAGCGAAGAGGAUUAGAUACCCUCGUAGUCCAUGCCGUAAACGAUGUGUGUUAGACGUUGGAAAUUUAUUUUCAGUGUCGCAGGGAAACCGAUAAACACACCGCCUGGGGAGUACGACCGCAAGGUUAAAACUCAAAUGAAUUGACGGGGACCCGCACAAGUAGUGGAGCAUGUGGUUUAAUUCGAAGAUACGCGCAGAACCUUACCAACACUUGACAUGUUCGUCGCGACUCUAAGAGAUUAGAGUUUUCGGUUCGGCCGGACGAAACACAGGUGCUGCAUGGCUGUCGUCAGCUCGUGUCGUGAGAUGUUGGGUUAAGUCCCGCAACGAGCGCAACCCUCACUUUUAGUUGCCAUCAUUAAGUUGGGCACUCUGAAAGAACUGCCAGUGAUAAGCUGGAGGAAGGUGGGGAUGACGUCAAGUCCUCAUGGCCCUUACGUGUUGGGCUACACACGUGCUACAAUGGUAUCUACAACAGGAAGCAAGACUGCGAAGUUAAGCAAAUCCCUAAAAGAUACCUCAGUUCGGAUUGCACUCUGCAACUCGAGUGCAUGAAGCUGGAAUUACUAGUAAUCGUGGAUCAGCGUGCCACGGUGAAUGCGUUCCCGGGUCUUGUACACACCGCCCGUCACACCAUGGGAGUUGGUUCUACCUUAAGGCAAGGUUUCAAACCCUUGACCACGGUAUAGUCAGCGACUGGGGUGAAGUCGUAACAAGGUAGCCGUAGGGGAACCUGCGGCUGGAUUACCUCCUUU